GGGUUGUUUAACUCACUGCCCAACUCUCGUGGUUGUGGCUUGUCGGAUGACAUUGAGAUACUUGCGAUCAGGCAACUGAUUGUAGGUGACUCGAUCUCGUUCUAGUACCCGAAGCAUCACAAGUCGAGACCCGACGGUUCCUAACUGUCGACUCGUAAUGUGACGCGCUACUCUUUAUCAGAGAGAGCUGCCAAAUGGCGUCCAACUUGACUUCUAUGGUGUCCGAGUGAACAUCAAGACGUGUAUCAUAACGUGUCUCGAUAAGAUCUAGGGCAUUCGUCUAACCGGCUCGUCGCUCUGUGCUGAAUAAUGAGGUUCGUUUGUCGAAGGAUCUUCGGAUUCUAAAACAAAACGUUGCGUGUCUUGCUAUUAUCAACCUGAACUCAGUCGUGAUUACCCGCUGAACUUAAGCAUAUCAUUUAGCGGAGGAAAAGAAACUAAAAAGGAUUCCCUUAGUAACGGCGAGUGAAACGGGAUGAGCCCAGCGCCGAAUCGAUCAGCCUAUGGUUGCUUCGAAAUGUGGCGUAUAGGUGUAGUCUUCCAGCAGUGUCGUGAGUCCGAAGUCCUUACGAUUGAGGCCAUAGACCAGAGAGGGUGCGAGUCCCGUCCUGGAUUGCGAUGCUGUUGGUUCGAUUGCUCCUUGGAGUCGGGUUGCUUGAAAGUGCAGCCUAAAGUGGGUGAUAAACUUCAUCUAAGGCUAAAUAUUGACUCGAUUGCGAUAGCGAACAAGUACCGUGAGGGAAAGUUGCAAAGGACUUUGAAGAGAGAGUUCAAGAGAACGUGAAAUCGCUGGAGUGGAACCGGAGACAGUUGAUGUUGCUUGGAGACAAGUUUGGUGGCUGGUCGCUUAGUUGUGAUCGUCGCCGGAUGUCGUUUCCUAUGCUACGCCGACGGCGUUGGUCGCUCGUUCUGGCCCGACAGUGUUGCCCAGCUCGCAAGAGUCGGUGUCUUGUUGUCGGUCGUUGGUUCGUGGUGGCUAGCGUUUAGUUACGCUAGUGUGUGUGACGUCGGUGUGAAAGUCGACGACGUUUCCGACCCGUCUUGAAACACGGAUUGCGGAGUGCUUGUCUACUGCGAGUCAAAGGGUGUUAAAACCUUGCGGCGAAAUGAAAGUGAAGGUCAGUCUUGAAUUGGCCGACGUGGGAUCGGUGCUCCUCGGAGUGCUGCGCACCACGGCCCUGUGCGUGUCACUUGUGACUGUGCAGAGGUUGAGCAGUUGGCAAACGACCCGAAAGAUGGUGAACUAUGCCUGAGCAGGAUGAAGCCAGAGGAAACUCUGGUGGAAGUCCGUAUCGGUUCUGACGUGCAAAUCGAUCGAUAGACUUGGGUAUAGGGGCGAAAGACUAAUCGAACCAUCUAGUAGCUGGUUCCUUCCGAAGUUUCCCUCAGGAUAGCUGGAUCUCCGGCAGUUAUAUUCGGUAAAGCUAAUGAUUAGAGGCCUUGGGGACGUAAUGUCCUCAACCUAUUCUCAAACUUUCAAUGGAUAUGAAGUUGCAGUUUCUUUAGUGAACUGUCAACGUGAAUGCGAGGUCCAAGUGGGCCAUUUUUGGUAAGCAGAACUGGCGCUGUGGGAUGAACCAAACGUGGAGUUAAGGUGCCUAACUUCUCGCUCAUGAGACCCCAUAAAAGGUGUUGGUUGAUAUUGACAGCAGGACGGUGGCCAUGGAAGUCGGUAUCCGCUAAGGAGUGUGUAACAACUCACCUGCCGAAUCAACUAGCCCUGAAAAUGGAUGGCGCUUAAGCGAGAGACCUAUACUCCGCCGUUGCGGCAUGUGCGUUGUCUAGCGCCAGGCCGUAACGAGUAGGAAGGUCGUGGCGGUUGCUUUGAAGGCUAUGAGCGUGGGCUCGGCUGGAGCUUCCGUCAGUGCAGAUCGUAAUGGUAGUAGCAAAUAUUCAAGUUCGAUCCUUGAAGACUGAAGUGGAGAAGGGUUCCACGUGAACAGUAGUUGGAUGUGGGUCAGUCGAUCCUAAGGUACUGGCGAACGCCUUGUAUCAUCGGUGGCGAAAAGCUUGCUUUUGGUCCCCGUUUGUCGAAAGGGAAUAGGGUUAAUAUUCCCUAACUGAGAUGCAAAGAUUGUGUUCUUCGGAGCACAAGCGCGGUAACGCAUUCGAACUUGGUUAGUCGCUCA
rnacentral:rRNA from 2 species